rnacentral:rRNA from 1 species
AAAGACUUGACGGUACUUCACAACAACCUAGAGGAGCCUGUCCAAUAACCGAUACCCCACGAUUAACCCAACCCACCCUAGCCAAACAGUCUAUAUACCGCCGUCGCCAGCUUACCUUGUGAAAGAACUAAAGUAAGCAAAAUAAACUACCAUUAACACGACAGGUCGAGGUGUAACUAAUGGGUGGGCAAAAGAUGGGCUACACUUUCUACUACAGAAAAUACGAACAAACUAUGAAACUAGAAACUGAAGGCGGAUUUAGCAGUAUGUUAAGAAUAGAAUACUUAACUGAAACCAACGCAAUGAAGUGCGCACACACCGCCCGUCAUCCCUG